AAUAUAGUGAAUUAAAAAAAAUUGGUCGAACGUACGCGAGGCGCUAUUCUUUAUUACAAAAUUGUGUGUGUUAGAACAUACAGAAUGUUGAGAUUUUCUUUAAUGAGCAGUUAAUUGAAUUCAAUUGAAUACAAAGUUCAUUGAUGCGUAAGCGCUGGUGUCAGUUUUAUUUGGGUUACUAUUGGGAACUCAAAUUGGCAGAGCGCGAAAUGAAAGUGAAAUCUUUAUUGCUAAUCCACACUUAAUGUCGAGCAUUUGGAAGGUCGUGGAAAUCUGAAAGAUAUAAUUGGUAGUCUUAUAUGGAUAUUUCUUGCAUACCAUAUGAAGCAUUCAUACAUAAAUCCACCGAAAAACUAUAGCAAAUGUAACUUAACAUUCGUGAACUAAAGCCAAAGUACGCUUAAGCCAAAGUUUUCAUUUGUAAUUCAAUGGUUCAUAUUACAAUAUAUUUAGAUUUUUGUGAAAUAUAACUAUAUACAUAUAUUUUAUGGUUUGUAUUAAAUUAAAAUAAAGCUAAUUGACUGAUGUGCCCAGCUGAUACAUGGCGCAGUUUACUUGGUACAACAAACAGAAUAACCCACAGCCCAACGAUAUCAGUAGGGCGGAGAGCGAGCAUGUGCCGCUUUGCUCUAUAACAGAUGUGCAAUUACGUUUUCUAGUGCCCGACGAUUUAACGGAGGUGAGAACUUUAUGUCAGGACUGGUUUCCUAUUGAUUAUCCGCUAUCAUGGUACGAAGAUAUAACUUCAAGUUCACGCUUUUUCGCGUUAGCAGCCGUCUACAACUUAGCCAUAAUUGGUCUUAUAGUGGCCGAAAUAAAACCAUAUAGAAAUUUAAAUAAAGAAGAUAAAGGUAUUUUACCGGACUCUAUGGGCCGACAUGCAGAUAUUGGUUAUAUUUUAUCACUUGGAGUACAUAGAAAACAUCGACGAAAUGGUAUUGGGUCAUUAUUAUUAGAUUCUCUGGUAAAUCACCUAACGACUGCGGAACGUUAUUCUGUUAAAGCCAUUUUCUUACACGUACUCACCACAAAUCAGGCUGCUAUACUUUUUUACGAGAAAAGAAGAUUUCACUUACAUUCAUUUCUGCCGUACUAUUAUAACAUACGAGGCAAUGAUAAGGAUGGUUUUACAUAUGUAACAUAUAUAAAUGGUGGGCACCAGCCGUAUACAUUAUUAGAUCAUAUAAAGCACUUUGCGUCAAAAAUAAGUCUCGCCGGAGGAAUGUUGACUUGGAUUACCCUACGUUUACGGCAAGCGGUACGCUGGAUUUGUCAUAAAACAGUUUCGCGUUUCAACUUCGCACACUAAAAGUGCAUAUACUCAGACACUUAACAAGUUCAUAAUAACAACAGAUCAACCUAUAUUGUAGAUAAGCGCAAGCUUUAUCUCAAAAAUAAAAAAAAAACAAAGAAAAGAAAGCACCUUGGUACAUCAGGUAGAUGGCGAGACCAGGUCGUUUGUUGAGAGCUUAAAUAAACAUACGUGUCAAAACAAUCUCUUCCACUACUGGUAGUCCACUACUAAUAUAUCGUAGUGGAAAAACUUGCUCAAAAUAGCAGACUCUACUAAAAUCCGUUAUCAAAUCGGCGAGCCUUGGAAAUCGGUAAGAAAACUUCUAUAUGAACAUUUUCAAAAAGUGAAUAUAAAUAGGUUUUCGCCUAAAUAUUAAAACUUGAUGCUUAAUUUUUGAAUAUUUUGUUU